UUAUGUUCUCAUAUGAAAUAAAUUGUUUUAAUUUUGGUGGGUAUCGUCUUGUCUAACAUAACGCAUCACUGCUAAUCCGCACCUGUAUUUGUAUUUAUAGUCGUAUCAGUUCAAAUACUAGUCUGACAAGUUUUAAUCCCACGGGAUUUUCAUGGGCAAAUUUAGUGCAGUGACAAGUACAUUCUUUAUCGGAAAUCCGUAGAGGACAGAUCGUUUACAAAAAUUUAAAGAAGAUUACGACGGAAAACUGCAGCGCAACUGUUUUGAGAAAUCACAAUUGAGAUGAGUAUACAUUAUAUAUUUUCUUUAGAUGUCUGCGCUUAUAAUUUUGAUUGCUGAACUUUCUGUUUAUACGGCAUUUGAAUAUGUCCUCUGGAAAGUAAUGGAGACACGUGUUCAUCGUACAAUCAGCAAGUUAUUGGCUAUUUGGUUUUAUUCAAUCACUGACUGAAUCAGUCUGAAGUGAAUUUUAGUUAUAAAAAAAAAAAAAUAAAUAAAAAAAAUAAAUAAAUAAAAUUAACAGACAUAGUGAGCUGACAAACACUCACAGGUAAAACAUGGGUGUGGUCGAGCGUUCUUUUUGUUUGCAUGUACAUACACAAAAAUGCAGUACGUUAGUUCCUGUACAUUAUUCUCGGUCAUUAUUAUUUAUGGACUUCAAUCAUAUGUACAAUAUGCAUGUACUGGUUUCACCCGAGGUGUAUUGAGGUUUAUGCAUUUCUAACGUACAUUGUUGCGGAAAUAUUUUGUAACAUGAUUUAGUAUCGCUAGGAUUAAUCAAAGAAUUUUGCUUUGUAGCCUAAUAUAAUUAAAAAAAAAAUCACAAACUUUUAAAUCAUUAAAUCAAAUAGAAAUAUACAUUUGGUUGUUUCUUACCAAUUGUCAAAAUUAUACGUUAAAUAUCUUGCUUCAAAUGAUAAAAAACAUGCUGCAUAGUCUAGUUACAGCUUAACAGAUCCGAUGAGAAAGGAGCGACAUACAAUUAAUUGGUUCCAUGCCGUUUUCAACAGUAUUUCAGUCAGAUGGUUAAAGUGUUCGUAGAGACUGCACAUGGGAAAAUUGGUAUGUAAUAAGGUAAUGUAAGCUUACGCUUUUUACGUGUCCAGGAACGAAAUUGGCUAUAUUAACUUGAUUAGCUAACUGGCAAGAGAGCGUUCCAGUUGGGUUCGUACCAUGGCAUGAAACAUUAACAGCUGACAAGAAAGAUACGUGUAUAUUGGAUGUUUUCAUAAUGUAACAUAUUGGUUAGCUGCUGUUUGUUAGAUAUCGAAAGAAAUGUAAGAUAUAUUUUCAUUUUAUACAUCACUAGGGUAACCUAGAUCUCAACUGUUGUAAUGUAUAACAGUAAAUGGUAAGUGAUGCUUAUGAAAAUUAAUAACAUACUGUCACAAUUCUAAGUCGUAGAAAUAUUUCUUAAAGCACGAAAGCGUCAUGUUUAAAUCAAAUAAUUCACGGAUUUAUAGAUAUAUUAUUAAUUCAUUGUAAUGAAAUUACAAAGCUCUUUCAGAACUGUUAAACAAUAUAAUCCGGACAUGUUCGAAGUAAGGUAAGAUGUGCUUUUCAUACUUAAGUCUGGUUACUGUUUCUGAGAGUAUUUUACAUAAGAAUAAAAUCCAGCAAAACAACGAAACUUAUGGAGAACGGUGCUAUAGAAAUAAAAACACAAACAUUCUGAACUAAAUGGAAUAAGCCACACUAUACUUGGGAGUGCCAUGAGUGAUUUCCCAUGAACCAAGUUAAUCGAACCGAAUCUGCUAAUACUUUGCAUGGUUCCGUUCUGCAAAAGAUUAUCAUAUACAAGGACUAAUAUAAAUUAAUACAGAUUAUUGUUAUAUUUUGAACAAUAUUCAGCUUUAAAUGUAUUUCUUAAUGACUAAAAUAUGGAUUUGGGUUAGCAAUUUUGUUACACGCUAACGAAAUGCAUACACAUUAAUUUUAGACGCAGUUCUAGCCUAUACGAUUUGAUGCGGAUUAUCCAUUUCGUCAGCAACUGUAACACCAGCAUUAACACGGUCAAUCUCUGGUAUAAGGGACUGCAGAAAACUAAUGUCGUCAACCGGCUAUUCUCCUAGUGUCUUUAAACAGUUUAGCUAUAGGAGCGGCGUGGCAUGGUCGGGAUCGGCAGCUAUUGGGGCACCUUGUGUUGAAAGGGUCACAAUGGUGAAUCAUACUGCUGAACCCUGCCACAAAAUGUACCGCUGCACCAAACAUGUCACGCCGCUUCUGUAAUCUAUGGUAUAUUAGAGAAUAAACUCUUUACAGUGUGUGUGUAUAAACUCAAUUUUGCUAGUAUGCUUCUGUUGGUACAUUUAAUCAUCAUGGAACAAUACGGUUGAAUGAAACCGGCUUGAUUUUUAACUGCAUGUAUUCAUUUAUAAACAUUCCGAAUGUUACUAUCUUUUUCUUUUUGGUACUUUGUUUGUUGUUUUUUGUUAAAUUUGGUUUGAAUUUAAGCACGAAGAUAACAUGAAUUAGUGCGGGUUUAUUACACAAAGCGAUAGCAUGCAGGUUCGCCAAAUUCUGGCAUUGUAUUUGCAGAAAGAUGGCCUUAAUGUCAUUUAUUCUGUAAAAAAAACAAACAAACAUAACUGAAAUAUUUUUGUAGGACAUCGUUUUGUACAUCGAUUUAUAAUUCGAUGACAGCUCAUGAACAUUACCCAGUUUUUCGUGUUGUUUUUGUUCUGUUUGGCACAUUUAUUUUAUCUACUAGAAACAUUGAUGAUAGUAAAUACUCGGAAAGCAGGGGGUGGAGAGAGCCUUUUCGCUGGUCAGAGCCUCGGAUUCUCCCUACCUCCCCCCUCUUAUAUAAAAAUAUCAAAAAAAAAAUAGAAAAGAGUUAGGGUUGGGGCAGCCGGCUCGCAGCAUACGAUUAACCUGUCUUUCUGGGUAGUUUUUAGAUGAAAUUAAAACAAAAAAUAAUAAUUAUAAUAAUAAUAAUAAUGCGUAAAGAUUAAGAUAACAUGACAAGUAUUUGUCAUAUUACAUAUGAAUUGUCCAUUCUGUAUUCUGUCUUACUGCAUAUGUUCAUAAAUAGUCCGGUAUAUUUUAUGUUUCUUUCGGCAUAUUGAUUGCUUAAGUACAUGCAUAUUUGGAAAGAAUUAUGAUAUUUCUGUCUAUAUAUAUUUCGAAGGCGUUCUAUUGAUGCAUUGUGUUAUUGGGAUAUUGAUUGUUAUAUGAACAGUAGUUAACCACCAUCUUUGAAACCAGUUUAAGUUGUUUGUUUGGUAUUAGUUAUAUAGUAAAGGAAAGAAAUAAGGCGUGUAUGCGUAUAUAAACUUGAUUUUAUUAGUAAACAUACAUUAUUUGCAUUGGUCUGAUUUCAUCAAUUUAGAAUUUUUAUUGUCGUGACUUAAAUGGCGCUUACAAAUUGUAAUCUUUAUUCGGGGUACAGUAAAGAAAGUCUUCUGUAUUAAAAUGUUUGGCUCAAGUCAAUUCUAAUUUCAUUUUAAUUUUUGUCCGUGUUGUGAGCAAUAUUUAGUGAUCCACAAAAUAUUUUAUUCUUGUAUACUACGGCAGUAUCAAAAUAAAAGCUCACUUGUCUAGGUUGACCUUCUCGUAUCUGCAACCUCGCGCUCGGUUGGUCAUCUCUUAUUAUUGGUGUUAUUGGGCGGGCGCUCUUUAAUCGUUAGAGGGGGCAUUGUACCAUGUGGUCGGCCAUUCACCUGGUCCAUUGAUUGACUGUGUCUUAUAUAAACAGGGUUGUUCAACUUAUCGGCCAUACGAUUAUUAGUGAUCAGUCGAAAGUUGCAUUUGUUAUAUGUACGUGUAGGUCCGUACAUAUUUUUAUAAUUUGUGGAUCACUUUGCUACAAACCUCUAACACAUGGGUUAUGUUGAAACAGACAUGUAAAUCCCCCCUGUUUUCUUACGUUUCCAGUCUGCUGGUUAGCUCAGUCAAUCGCUUGGAUGGAUUAUAUUAUUAUUGUAGCAUAGUUUGCUAUAACCAUUCCCUCGCACCGGUCCGUUUGUUCAUAUAUUACAUUGAAACAAUUUUUUCAAUAUUUUAAUAUUUUUGUGCGUUUGUUUGCUGAAGACUUUCUUGACUUACAUCAGAUUUUAUUUUGAUCUUGGUGUUAUGUUUCAUUCUGCAUUUACUUAAUCUAGGAAGAAUAUUUUUGUUGAUAUAUCAUCUCAUGUCAUAGAGAUCGGUGAGAGCAUCUUUGUCACGUUUCUCAUUAGUGCGAAGUACUAGAACCUACAAUUUCCUAUUAGGUCUGGUAUGUUCUGCUCUUAUUUUCAUAGUUUUCUGCACCUUCGCGCUGCUAUGUUGCUUCCAGGCAUUUUAGCUGGAGCUUUGUCUUUCAUAUUUUCUCAUCAUUUUCAUAUAUACCAUGCUAUAUAUUUACAAUAUGCCAUAAUUUUCAUUUGAAAAUUUACAAUAAAGUCACGGCCUUAUCCCACAUAA